rnacentral:tRNA from 1 species
GGGGAUGUGGCUCAGCGGUAGAGCACUUGUUUAGCAUGUAUAAGACCCUGGGUUCAAUCCCCAGUGCCCCCA